CCCGGUGACCAGAGCGGAUUGGAACGACCUGAUCCCAUUCCGAACUCAGUAGUCAAACGAUCUAGCGUUGACGAUAGUGUUAGGGCAACCUGGUGCGAAAAUAAAUCGUUGCCGGGA
rnacentral:rRNA from 1 species